UGUUAUAAUUAAAUUGGUGUGAAUAUUUGCUGUCCACAAUGAAAUAUAUCUAUGAAUACGUAAGUGAAAUCAAGUAUAUAAUGGCUAUGGUAUAAAAUUAACACCUUGGUUGUCCAGGAUUUUGAUACAAAUGUUCAAGUUUUUUCUGGUUUCUUUGGCUGCUGAAUUGCCUGAGAAACAGACUUGGAGAGAUUCGAAAAUAAAAAUAAAAUAAAAUAAAAUAUUAAUUGAAUGGGGAGUGAAU
rnacentral:lncRNA from 1 species